rnacentral:misc_RNA from 1 species
GAUGAAGAACGCAGCGAAAUGCGAUAAGUAGUGUGAAUUGCAGAAUUCAGUGAAUCAUCGAAUCUUUGAACGCACAUUGCGCCCCUUGGUAUUCUAUGGGGCAUGCCUGUUCGAGCGUCAUUUGUACCUUCAAGCUCUGCUUGGUGUUGGGUGUUUGUCUCGCCUCUGCGUGUAGACUCGCCUCAAAACAAUUGGCAGCCGGCGUAUUGAUUUCGGAGCGCAGUACAUCUCGCGCUUUGCACUCAUAACGACGACGUCCAAAAGUACAUUUUUACACUCUUGACCUCGGAUCAGGUAGGGAUACCCGCUGAACUUAAGCAUAUCAAUAAGCGGAGGA